UACGUAGGGGGCAAGCGUUGUCCGGAAUCAUUGGGCGUAAAGCGCGCGUAGGCGGCCCGGUAAGUCCGCUCUGAAAGUCCAGGGCUCAACCCUGGAAAGCGGGUGGAUACUGCCGGGCUAGAAUCCGGAAGAGGCGAGUGGAAUUCCCGGUGUAGCGGUGAAAUGCGCAGAUAUCGGGAGGAACACCAAUUGCGAAGGCAGCUCGCUGGGACGUUACUGACGCUGAGACGCGAAAGCGUGGGGAGCAAACAGG
rnacentral:rRNA from 1 species